UACGUAGGGUGCGAGCGUUGUCCGGAAUUAUUGGGCGUAAAGAGCUCGUAGGCGGUCUGUCGCGUCGGUCGUGAAAACUUGGGGCUUAACCCUGAGCUUGCGGUCGAUACGGGCAUGACUGGAGUUCGGCAGGGGAGACUGGAAUUCCUGGUGUAGCGGUGGAAUGCGUAGAGAUCAGGAAGAACACCGGUGGCGAAGGCGGCUUGCUGGGCCAGUUCUGACGCUGAGGCGCGAAAGCGUGGGGAGCAAACAGG
rnacentral:rRNA from 1 species